rnacentral:misc_RNA from 1 species
GAUGAAGAACGUAGCAAAAUGCGAUAAGUAAUGUGAAUUGCAGAAUUCAGUGAAUCAUCGAAUCUUUGAACGCACAUUGCGCCCGCCAGUAUUCUGGCGGGCAUGCCUGUUCGAGCGUCAUUUCAACCCUCAAGCACAGCUUGGUGUUGGGACUCGCGUUAAUUCGCGUUCCCCAAAUUGAUUGGCGGUCACGUCGAGCUUCCAUAGCGUAGUAGUAAAACCCUCGUUACUGGUAAUCGUCGCGGCCACGCCGUAAAACCCCAACUUCUGAAUGUUGACCUCGGAUCAGGUAGGAAUACCCGCUGAACUUAAGCAUAUCAAUAAGCGGAGGA